UCCCCGGUAGCUCAGUGGUAGAGCAAACGGCUGUUAACCGUUCGGUCGCUGGUUCGAGUCCGGCCCGGGGAGCCA
rnacentral:tRNA from 1 species